GACGAACGCUGGCGGCGUGCUUAACACAUGCAAGUCGAACGGUAAGGCCCUUCGGGGUACACGAGUGGCGAACGGGUGAGUAACACGUGGGUGAUCUGCCCUGCACUUCGGGAUAAGCCUGGGAAACUGGGUCUAAUACCGGAUAGGACCACUGCCUGCAUGGGUGGUGGUGGAAAGCUUUUGCGGUGUGGGAUGGGCCCGCGGCCUAUCAGCUUGUUGGUGGGGUGAUGGCCUACCAAGGCGACGACGGGUAGCCGGCCUGAAAGGGUGACCGGCCACACUGGGACUGAGAUACGGCCCAGACUCCUACGGGAGGCAGCAGUGGGGAAUAUUGCACAAUGGGCGCAAGCCUGAUGCAGCGACGCCGCGUGAGGGAUGACGGCCUUCGGGUUGUAAACCUCCUUCAGCACCGACGAAGCGCAAGUGACGGUAGGUGCAGAAGAAGGACCGGCCAACUACGUGCCAGCCGCCGCCGUAAAAC
rnacentral:rRNA from 1 species